rnacentral:rRNA from 1 species
AGCUCCAAUAGCGUAUAUUAAAGUUGUUGCAGUUAGAACGCUCGUAGUCGGAUUUCGGGGCGGGCCGACCGGUCUGCCGAUGGGUACGCACUGGUCGGCGCGUCCUUCCUUCCGGAGACCGUGCCUACUCUUAACUGAGCGGGGGCGGGAGACGGAUCGUUUACUUUGAAAAAAUCAGAGUGUUUCAAGCAGGCAGCUCGCUCUUGCAUGGAUUAGCAUGGGAUAAUGAAAUAGGACUUUGGUGCUAUUUUGUUGGUUUCGAACACCGAAGUAAUGAUUAACAGGGACAGUCAGGGGCACUCGUAUUCCGCCGAGAGAGGUGAAAUUCUCAGACCAGCGGAAGACGAACCACUGCGAAAGCAUUUGCCAGGGAUGUUUUCACUA